UACGGGGGGAGCAAGCGUUGUUCGGAUUUACUGGGCGUAAAGGGCGCGUAGGCGGCCACCGCAAGUCGGUUAUGAAAUCUCUGGGCUUAACCCAGAAAGGUCAACCGAUACUGCGGGGCUAGAGUGCAGAAGGGGCAACUGGAAUUCUCGGUGUAGCGGUGAAAUGCGUAGAUAUCGAGAGGAACACCUGCGGCGAAGGCGGGUUGCUGGGCUGACACUGACGCUGAAGCGCGAAAGCUAGGGGAGCGAACGGG
rnacentral:rRNA from 1 species